GGGUGCAUAGCUCAAAGGUAGAGCGACGGCCUGUUAAGCCGUGGGUUGAAGGUUCAAGUCCUUCUGCGCCCGCCA
rnacentral:tRNA from 1 species